ensembl:lncRNA
CAGGAUCUUCUAGUCCUAUGAAGUUUAAACCAAAUUUCUAAUUAGAGCUUUUUAAAGAGUAACUAGUUCAGAGAUUAUCCUUUUCAAAGUAAUAAUGACAUAUGAUAUUAUAGUAUUUUAGGAGAUUCUAACUCAAACCAUGAGCAACUACAAAGUUUGUGGGGCUGAGUUUUAUCAAGACAGCAAAAAUCCUCAAUAGUGGGGAACAAGUCUGUGCCACUGUCAGUUGGGGGGGAAGAAGGGGAACCACCCGUCCAUCACCUGACUGCAAAAAAUGUACUACAAUUGUUCCUGCAUGAGAAUCAGAUAUUGCCCGCAAACUUGGAUGGCAUGUAAAACAGAUAUUAACAAGUGAUAAGAUUGUCCCUUCUAGUGCUACAAAUCCAGUCCUGGGCGACUUUUGCAUUCUGGUCAGUAGCUCCAUGCGUAUGCAUAUAAUCAUUCAUUGAAUCAUUCUGCCUCUGUUACAU